GACGAACGCUGGCGGCGUGCUUAACACAUGCAAGUCGAACGGAAAGGCCCUGCUUUUGUGGGGUGCUCGAGUGGCGAACGGGUGAGUAACACGUGAGUAGCCUGCCCUUGACUUUGGGAUAACUUAAGGAAACUGGGGCUACUACCGGAUAGGAGCUCCUGCUGCAUGGUGGGGGUUGGAAAGUUUAGGCGGUUGGGGAUGGACUCGCGGCUUAUCAGCUUGUUGGUGGGGUAGUGGCUUACCAAGGCUUUGACGGGUAGCCGGCCUGAGAGGGUGACCGGCUACAUUGGGACUGAGAUACGGCCCAGACUCCUACGGGAGGCAGCAGUGGGGAAUAUUGUACUAUGGGCGGAAGCCUGAUGCAGCAACGCCGCGUGCGGGAUGACGGCCAUCGGGUUGUAAACCGCUUUCGCCUUUGACGAAGCGUGAGUGACGGUAAUGGGUAAAGAAGCACCGGCUAACUACGUG
rnacentral:rRNA from 1 species